CAGCUAGUUGGCGGGGUAAUGGCCCACCAAGGCAAAGAUCGGUAGCCGGCCUGAGAGGGCGCACGGCCACACUGGAACUGAAACACGGUCCAGACUCCUACGGGAGGCAGCAGUGGGGAAUUUUGCGCAAUGGGGGAAACCCUGACGCAGCAACGCCGCGUGGAGGAUGAAGUCCCUUGGGACGUAAACUCCUUUCGACCCGGACGAUAAUGACGGUACGGGUGGAAGAAGCCCCGGCUAACUUCGUGCCAGCAGCCGCGGUAAUACGAGGGGGGCAAGCGUUGUUCGGAAUUAUUGGGCGUAAAGGGCGCGUAGGCGGUGCGGUAAGUCACCUGUGAAACCUCUAGGCUUAACCUAGAGCCUGCAGGCGAAACUGCCGUGCUUGAGGGUGGGAGAGGUGCGUGGAAUUCCCGGUGUAGCGGUGAAAUGCGUAGAUAUCGG
rnacentral:rRNA from 1 species